rnacentral:rRNA from 1 species
CCUACGGGUGGCAGCAGGGGGGAAUAUUGCACAAUGGGGGAAACCCUGAUGCAGCGACGCCGCGUGAGUGCAGAAGGAUUUCGGUAUGUAAAGCUCUAUCAGCAGGGAAGAAAAUGACGGUACCUGAGUAAGAAGCCCCGGCUAACUACGAGACAGCAGCCGCGGUAAUACGUAGGGGGCAAGCGUGAUCAGGAUUUACAGGGUGUAACGGGAGCGUAGACGGCAGCACAAGUCCGGAGUGAAAGGCCGGGGCUUAAACCCGGAACUGCGUUUGAAAAUGUGCAGCUAGAGUGCAGGGGAGGUAAGUGGAAUUCCUAGUGUAGCGGUGAAAGGCGUAGAUAUUAGGAGGCACACCAGUGGCGAAGGCGGCUUACUGGACUGUAACUGACGUUGAGGCUCGAAAGCGUGGGGAGCAAACAGGAUUAGAUACCCGUGUAGUC